rnacentral:lncRNA from 1 species
UUUAUUUCAAACAUAACAUUAAUAAACAAAAUGAUAACAAUUUGCAUAAUCACAUGUGUAGGAAAAUAUGUUUUAACAAUGCAUAGACGAAUAGAUAAAAGCACAUCAGAAUAAAAAGGUAACACUUUCACCUUAUAAAUAUACUUUUCGACCUUUCACUUUCGCUAUCAUAAAGAUCUUUUAAUCGAAAAAUUCGAAGCAUCAGACUGAGUACAAAUUUAAAACAAAAAGUAAAACAUUAUCAUAACAUCGUAAAAUAGAAGUGAAAUUGUUUCGUAAGCUAUAUCUUCCAGAAUUUGGUUUAUCGACUGAUAAUCGCUAGUUUGUUUAGUUUGUGAGCAUCAAAAACAUAGAUCUGAAGAAACUUCUGCCACGAUUACAUUUUAAUAAUGUGCGCAGGUCCAGAGAUUGAGUAGUCGCGUGAACACUUACCGACACAUAGGAUACAACCCCUUAACAAGAGCUGUCAAAAUGACAGUAAACCGGAUUCUUUAACAUUUAUUUGUGUUCUGGCAUUUAUCAAUAUUACAAGGACCAAAACUCCUAAUAGGUAAAAUUUAUGAUUAUCAAUAUCAAACUUGACUUCCAUGUUGUCAACAAUAACAACAUAUAAACUAGAUAGAAAAUGACCCUCUAACAGGAAAAACUGUGUGCCCUUAAUGAUUAAAGUAAGAAAAAAUUACUAAGUCCACCUACCUAGGAUUUUGAAAAUAUCUAAAUGAACUUGACCUCCAUUUUGUUGUCAGUAACAACAUAUUAAAAUUUUAAAAUCAUCAUUAUUGAACUUGACCUCCAUUUUGUUGUCAGUAACAACAUAUUAAAAUUUUAAAAGGUUUGGUUGAACGGUUCAUGAGUAAAUGCACGGACACAACAUUUUUUAAACUUUCAAGAACCGUAACUCCUGAACGGUAAAAGGCAAAAUCGUCAUUAUUGAACUUGACCUCCAUUUUGUUGUCAGUAACAACAUAUUAAAAUUUUAAAAGGUUUGGUUGACUGGUUCAUGAGUAAAUGCACGGACACGACAUUUUUUUAAACUUUCAAGAACCGUAACUCCUGAACGGUUAAAGUAAAAAUCGUCAUUAUUGAACUUGACCUCCGUUAUGUUGUCAGUAACAACAUAUUAAAAUUUUAAAAGGUUUGGUUGAACGGUUCAUGAGUAAAUGCACGGACACAACAUUUUUUAAACUUUCAAGAACCGUAACUCCUGAACGGUAAAAGUCAAAAUCGUCAUUAUUGAACUUGACCUCCAUUUUGUUGUCAGUAACAACAUAUUAAAAGAUUUGGUUGAACGCUUCAUGAGUAAAUGCACGGACAACAUUUGGUUGCCGCCCGCCCGCCCGCC